GACGAACGCUGGCGGCGUGCUUAACACAUGCAAGUCGAACGGAAAGGCCCUGCUUUUGUGGGGUGCUCGAGUGGCGAACGGGUGAGUAACACGUGAGUAACCUGCCCUUGACUUUGGGAUAACUUCAGGAAACUGGGGCUAAUACCGGAUAGGAGCUCCUGCUGCAUGGUGGGGGUUGGAAAGUUUCGGCGGUUGGGGAUGGACUCGCGGCUUAUCAGCUUGUUGGUGGGGUAGUGGCUUACCAAGGCUUUGACGGGUAGCCGGCCUGAGAGGGUGACCGGGCACAAUGGGACUGAGAGACGGACCAGACUGCUACGGGAGGCAGCAGGGGGGAAUAUUGCACAAUGGGCGGAAGCCUGAUGCAGCAACGCCGCGUGCGGGAUGACGGCCUUCGGGUUGUAAACCGCUUUCGCCUGUGACGAAGCGUGAGUGACGGUAAUGGGUAAAGAAGCACCGGCUAACUACGUG
rnacentral:rRNA from 1 species